AGUGAACGCUGGCGGUAGGCCUAACACAUGCAAGUCGAACGGCAGCACAGGAGAGCUUGCUCUCUGGGUGGCGAGUGGCGGACGGGUGAGGAAUACAUCGGAAUCUGCCCAGUCGUGGGGGAUAACGUAGGGAAACUUACGCUAAUACCGCAUACGACCUUCGGGUGAAAGAGGGGGAUCGCAAGACCUCUCGCGAUUGGAUGAGCCGAUAUCGGAUUAGCUAGUUGGCGGGGUAAUGGCCCACCAAGGCGACGAUCCGUAGCUGGUCUGAGAGGAUGAUCAGCCACACUGGAACUGAGACACGGUCCAGACUCCUACGGGAGGCAGCAGUGGGGAAUAUUGGACAAUGGGCGCAAGCCUGAUCCAGCCAUACCGCGUGGGUGAAGAAGGCCUUCGGGUUGUAAAGCCCUUUUGUUGGGAAAGAAAUCUUUCAGGCUAAUACCCUGGGAGGAUGACGGUACCCAAAGAAUAAGCACCGGCUAACUUCGUG
rnacentral:rRNA from 1 species